UAGGGAAUCUUCCACAAUGGACGAAAGUCUGAUGGAGCAACGCCGCGUGAGUGAAGAAGGUUUUCGGAUCGUAAAGCUCUGUUGUUGGUGAAGAAGGAUAGAGGCAGUAACUGGUCUUUAUUUGACGGUAAUCAACCAGAAAGUCACGGCUAACUACGUGCCAGCAGCCGCGGUAAUACGUAGGUGGCAAGCGUUGUCCGGAUUUAUUGGGCGUAAAGCGAGCGCAGGCGGAAUGAUAAGUCUGAUGUGAAAGCCCACGGCUCAACCGUGGAACUGCAUCGGAAACUGUCAUUCUUGAGUGCAGAAGAGGAGAGUGGAACUCCAUGUGUAGCGGUGGAAUGCGUAGAUAUAUGGAAGAACACCAGUGGCGAAGGCGGCUCUCUGGUCUGCAACUGACGCUGAGGCUCGAAAGCAUGGGUAGCGAACAGGAUUAGAUACCCUGGUAGUCCAUGCCGUAAAACGAUGAGCGCUAGGUGUUGGGG
rnacentral:rRNA from 1 species